AGAUACUGAUGCUUGCGGCUACUGGUAGCCAGUGUAACCUGAUGAGGAGAGGAGUAACGUGAGCUUUUUUUGGCUCAUUGAAGACCACUCUCGCUGCUGCAUUCUG